AAGAGUAUACCAUCUCUCCAGGAAAGCAGACUGUCUUGGUGACUAUCAAUGGUCCAUACAAUCUUUGUCUGCCUGCUGUGUAUUGCCCACAUUGCUCCUGCAAGUGGACCCCAGGGAUCAGUGACCUGAUUAGUAGCCGAUACUGGCCAGCAACAGCAAGCUGCCAAAUGCUGUUCAAAUUUGAUGUCUUUGCAUCAUUUGAACAGAUGAAGUUGGCCAGCCCAGCUACGUCCCAAAAAGCAUUUAUAAGAAUGCUUGAACAUCGGGCACAUUGCACAGGACGGAAUGGCAGUAUAUGCGGUGAUACAUUCCACAGGGUGUAUCGUGAAUUUGCCUUCUGCAACUGGAAG